AGCGAACGUUAGCGGCGCGCCUAACACAUGCAAGUCGCACGAGAAAGGGGGCAACCCCCGGUACAGUGGCGCACGGGUGAGUAACACGUAGAUGACCUUCCCUGGAGUGGUGGAUAACCUGCCGAAAGGCGGGCUAAUACAGCAUGGGACCACAUGGUUUUGACCGAGUGGUGAAAGCGGGCCUCUGUUCACAAGCUCGCGCUCUGGGAUGGGUCUGCGGCCCAUCAGCUAGUUGGUGAGGUAACGGCUCACCAAGGCAACGACGGGUAGCUGGUCUGAGAGGAUGACCAGCCACACUGGAACUGAGACACGGUCCAGACUCCUACGGGAGGCAGCAGUGGGGGAAUCUUGCGCAAUGGGCGAAAGCCUGACGCAGCGACGCCGCGUGGGUGAUGAAGGCCCUCGGGUUGUAAAGCCCUGUGGGGAGGAACGAAUCGUUCGGGGGUGAAUAUCCUCCGAGCCUGACGGUACCUCCUUAGCAAGCAUCGGCUAACU
rnacentral:rRNA from 1 species